AAGGAUCAUUAUUGAAUCAAAAUCCAUUCACUCACUCAGAGAGGAUGGUACCUGUAUGAUGUGCUAUCCCACGCUGUUGGGAGAGCCAUUGCAAUGUAAUGACAUGUAUUCUAAAUUUGUAUCGCGUACUCACUUUACUAAGUUAGUCGCGUGUCGCCAGCCAUCGGCUGGUUUGACAACAAUUUUACCAAUUUGUGCUAUUGAGAUUAAAACAAAACAAGACUCAAUGUGGGGGAUCACUUAGUCCUUAAAUCGAUGAAAAACAUAGUAAUUUGUGGAAAAUGAUGUGAGUUGUGAAAUUUUGUGAGCAUUGUGUUUUUGAAUGAAAAUUUCAGCAUGGAUGCAUGCGUGUCUAUGCUGCAUUUGUUUCAGUAUAUAUCAAUGUAAAUUUGUCGUUACUAUUGCUU
rnacentral:rRNA from 1 species